rnacentral:rRNA from 1 species
AGUGAACGCUGGCGGUGGGCCUAAUACAUGCCAGUCGAACGGCCGCACAGUAAGCGUUUGCUCCUACUGGUGGCGAGUGACGGGCGGGUGAGGCGUAGAUAGGCUUCUUCUUUUACGUGGGGGAUAUCGUGGGGCAGCUUAUGAUACUACCGAAUAUGUUCUACGGGUUAAUGCAGGAGAUCUUCGCAGUUUGGCCGUCUGUAUGAGACGAUGCCGCAUUAGCUAGUUGGCAAGGUAAAGGCUCACCAAGGCAACGAUCCGUAGCUGAUCUGAGAGGAUGAUCGGCCACACUGGAACUGAGACACGGUCCAGACUCCUACGGGAGGCAGCAGUAGGGAAUAUUGCACAAUGGGCGAAAGCCUGACCCAGCAACGCCGCGUGAGUGAUGAAGGCCUUCGGAUUGUAAAGCUCUGUUAUUAGGAAAGAAAAUAAGUAUAAGAAAAUGCGCACGUCCUGACGGUACCUAAUCAAAAAGCCACGGCUAACUACGUG